CCUACGGGAGUCUGCAGUGAGGAAUAUUGGUCCAUGGACGCAAGUCUGAACCAGCCAUGCCGCGUGCAGGAUGACGGCUCUAUGAGUUGUAAACUGCUUUUGUACGAGGGUAAACGCAGAUACGCGUAUCUGUCUGAAAGUAUCGUACGAAUAAGGAUCGGCUAACUCCGUGCCAGCAGCCGCGGUACUACGGAGGAUUCAAGCGUUAUCCGGAUUUAUUGGGUUUAAAGGGUGCGUAGGCGGUCGGAUAAGUUAGUGGUGAAAUGCCGAGGCUCAACCGCGGAAUUGCCUCUGAAACUGGUCGGCUAUGGAGUGGUUGCGGUAGGCGGAAUGUAUGGUGGAGCGGGGAAAUGCUUAGAGAUC
rnacentral:rRNA from 1 species